rnacentral:rRNA from 1 species
AUGGAGAUCAACCCCAACAAAUUCAUCGACAUUCAGCGCAAGUGGAGAGUUCCAUACACCGGAAAAGAGUACGACUCCUUGACUGAUGUUGCAGCCAGCGUCACCCACCCAUUCUACAAAGGCAUGAAGAACAAGAUCAACACGCAGGAAGACUACAAACUGUGGGGGACCAGCGAGCUGCCAGACAACCUCAUCGAGUACGCAGGAGUAGAUGCGUACGCCGCGUACAAGUCAUGGUUCAUGAUCGACUACAUCACAGAUGGUUUAGAAUAUGCGAAAGAGCGGGAGGCUGAAAACUUCUACGACCGCCCCUAUUGCCCCUUUAUGGGAUGA